rnacentral:rRNA from 1 species
UACAGAGGUCUCAAGCGUUGUUCGGAUUCAUUGGGCGUAAAGGGUGCGUAGGUGGCGCCAUAAGUCGGGUGUGAAAUCUCGGGGCUUAACUCCGAAACUGCAUUCGAUACUGUGGUGCUUGAGGACUGGAGAGGAGACUGGAAUUCAUGGUGUAGCAGUGAAAUGCGUAGAGAUCAUGAGGAAGACCAGUGGCGAAGGCGGGUCUCUGGACAGUUCCUGACACUGAGGCACGAAGGCAAGGGGAGCAAACGGG